rnacentral:rRNA from 1 species
AGCCCAACCCUUGUCCCUAGUUGCCAGCGGUUCNGNCCGGGAACUCUAGGGAGACUGCCGGUGAUAAACCGGAGGAAGGUGGGGAUGACGUCAAGUCAUCAUGGCCCUUAUGGCCAGGGCCACACACGUGCUACAAUGGGCGGUACAAAGGGUCGCGAAUCCCGCGAGGGGAAGCCAAUCCCAAAAACCCGCUCGUAGUCCGGAUUGGAGUGUACAACCAGACUCCAUGAAGUCGGAAUCGCUAGUAUCGAGAUCAGC